rnacentral:lncRNA from 1 species
AUGGCAAGAUGGUCCAGAAGCUCUCCAUAUCACAUCCUCUUGGGUGGCAAGGAGACAAUAUUUCUUACUGAUAAUUCCUGCUCAAAUCUGGGAAUCCUUUCUGAUAGAAACAACUCUGCAGGAUUCAGUGCUCUGAUUAACCAGGCCUGGUUGGGAAGUACAGCUGGGCAGAGACUGAUGUACAAGGAGCCUUCCGUACUCCCAUCAGAAAUCAAGGUCAAACAAGUGUUUAUGGCGAUUUCACCUUUCAACUACUGUUCAGCAGUAAUUCAAUCAGCAUUCUGUUUAGCAGAUUUCCUGGACAAUGGUCUUUUUUUGGCUAAUUGGCUGAAUAACAUCAUUGACACAAGUGAACUGUUAUUUAAGGUAUGA